GGGUUCCAAUUUAACAUACAAUUUUUAAUACUACAUGUGUUCUGAAAAAUUCAAAUGUUAUGAUAUGAAAUGUUAGAUAAUACGGUAUUACUCAUAUGCAAGCAUCUUGAUAUUUUGUUGAUCUCAAUUGUUUUUGAGAACUGACAAGCUCAGUAUGUGAUAUGACUAUAUGAAAUCAUUCUGAUACAAAAGGGGCUCAAUGUUUAAUAAGUCACCAUGACAAAAAUUUGAAUUUCUUUUUAUACAGGGUCUACGGAACUACAUGUUCUUAAUAUUUUCUAUACGACUCCAUUAAACCGAUUUUAUUAUC
rnacentral:misc_RNA from 1 species